AACGCACAUUGCGCCCUUUGGUAUUCCUUAGGGCAUGCCUGUUCGAGCGUCAUUUACAAAUUCAAGCUCAGCUUGGUGAUGGGCGUCUGUCUCGCCUUUGCGUGUGGACUCGCCUCAAAUGCAGUUGGCAGCUUGUUCCUCGGCUCUAAACGCAGCAGAUUUGCGUCGAGCGUCGUGCGGACGGGCUCUCCAGUAAGCAAAACCCCACAAAUUGACCUCGGAUCAGGUAGGGAUACCCGCUGAACUUAA
rnacentral:misc_RNA from 1 species